UCGCGAUUAGAGUUUGAUCCUGGCUCAGAAUCAACGCUGGCGGCGUGCCUAACACAUGCAAGUCGAACGCGAAAGGGGCUUCGGCCCUGAGUAGAGUGGCGAACGGGUGAGUAACACGUGGGUGACCUACCCUCGGGUGGGGGAUAACAUCCCGAAAGGGGUGCUAAUACCGCAUGACAUCCUGCCUUUGAACAGGCGGACAUCAAAGCCGGGGAUCGCAAGACCUGGCGCUCGAGGAGGGGCUCGCGUCCGAUUAGCUAGUUGGUGGGGUAAUGGCCUACCAAGGCGACGAUCGGUAGCCGGCCUGAGAGGGCGGACGGCCACACUGGGACUGAGACACGGCCCAGACUCCUACGGGAGGCAGCAGUGGGGAAUUGUUCGCAAUGGGCGCAAGCCUGACGACGCAACGCCGCGUGGAGGAUGAAGAUCU
rnacentral:rRNA from 1 species